UUAAGCGACUAAGCGUACACGGUGGAUGCCCUGGCAGUCAGAGGCGAUGAAGGACGUGCUAAUCUGCGAAAAGCGUCGGUAAGGUGAUAUGAACCGUUAUAACCGGCGAUGUCCGAAUGGGGAAACCCAGUGCAAUUCGUUGCACUAUCGUUAACUGAAUACAUAGGUUAACGAGGCGAACCGGGGGAACUGAAACAUCUAAGUACCCCGAGGAAAAGAAAUCAACCGAGAUUCCCCCAGUAGCGGCGAGCGAACGGGGAGCAGCCCAGAGUCUGAAUCAGCUUGUGUGUUAGUGGAACGGUCUGGAAAGUCCGACGGUACAGGGUGAUAGUCCCGUACACCAAAAUGCACAGGUUGUGAACUCGAAGAGUAGGGCGGGACACGUGGUAUCCUGUCUGAAUAUGGGGGGACCAUCCUCCAAGGCUAAAUACUCCUGACUGACCGAUAGUGAACCAGUACCGUGAGGGAAAGGCGAAAAGAACCCCGGCGAGGGGAGUGAAAAAGAACCUGAAACCGUGUACGUACAAGCAGUGGGAGCACCUUCGGGUGUGACUGCGUACCUUUUGUAUAAUGGGUCAGCGACUUAUAUUCUGUAGCAAGGUUAACCGUAUAGGGGAGCCGCAGGGAAACCGAGUCUUAACUGGGCGUUAAGUUGCAGGGUAUAGACCCGAAACCCGGUGAUCUAGCCAUGGGCAGGUUGAAGGUUGGGUAACACUAACUGGAGGACCGAACCGACUAAUGUUGAAAAAUUAGCGGAUGACUUGUGGCUGGGGGUGAAAGGCCAAUCAAACCGGGAGAUAGCUGGUUCUCCCCGAAAGCUAUUUAGGUAGCGCCUCGUGAACUCAUCUUCGGGGGUAGAGCACUGUUUCGGCUAGGGGGUCAUCCCGACUUACCAACCCGAUGCAAACUACGAAUACCGAAGAAUGUUAUCACGGGAGACACACGGCGGGUGCUAACGUCCGUCGUGAAGAGGGAAACAACCCAGACCGCCAGCUAAGGUCCCAAAGUCAUGGUUAAGUGGGAAACGAUGUGGGAAGGCACAGACAGCCAGGAUGUUGGCUUAGAAGCAGCCAUCAUUUAAAGAAAGCGUAAUAGCUCACUGGUCGAGUCGGCCUGCGCGGAAGAUGUAACGGGGCUAAACCAUGCACCGAAGCUGCGGCAGCGACGCUAUGCGUUGUUGGGUAGGGGAGCGUUCUGUAAGCCUGCGAAGGUGGCCUGUGAGGGCUGCUGGAGGUAUCAGAAGUGCGAAUGCUGACAUAAGUAACGAUAAAGCGGGUGAAAAGCCCGCUCGCCGGAAGACCAAGGGUUCCUGUCCAACGUUAAUCGGGGCAGGGUGAGUCGACCCCUAAGGCGAGGCCGAAAGGCGUAGUCGAUGGGAAACAGGUUAAUAUUCCUGUACUUGGUGUUACUGCGAAGGGGGGACGGAGAAGGCUAUGUUAGCCGGGCGACGGUUGUCCCGGUUUAAGCAUGUAGGCGGAGGUUCCAGGUAAAUCCGGUACCUUUUAACGCUGAGGUGUGAUGACGAGGCACUACGGUGCUGAAGUAACAAAUGCCCUGCUUCCAGGAAAAGCCUCUAAGCAUCAGGUAACAUCAAAUCGUACCCCAAACCGACACAGGUGGUCAGGUAGAGAAUACCAAGGCGCUUGAGAGAACUCGGGUGAAGGAACUAGGCAAAAUGGUGCCGUAACUUCGGGAGAAGGCACGCUGGUGUGUAGGUGAAGUCCCUGCGGACGGAGCUGAGACCAGUCGAAGAUACCAGCUGGCUGCAACUGUUUAUUAAAAACACAGCACUGUGCAAACACGAAAGUGGACGUAUACGGUGUGACGCCUGCCCGGUGCCGGAAGGUUAAUUGAUGGGGUUAUCCGUAAGGAGAAGCUCUUGAUCGAAGCCCCGGUAAACGGCGGCCGUAACUAUAACGGUCCUAAGGUAGCGAAAUUCCUUGUCGGGUAAGUUCCGACCUGCACGAAUGGCGUAAUGAUGGCCAGGCUGUCUCCACCCGAGACUCAGUGAAAUUGAACUCGCUGUGAAGAUGCAGUGUACCCGCGGCAAGACGGAAAGACCCCGUGAACCUUUACUAUAGCUUGACACUGAACAUUGAGCCUUGAUGUGUAGGAUAGGUGGGAGGCUUUGAAGCGUGGACGCCAGUCUGCGUGGAGCCAACCUUGAAAUACCACCCUUUAAUGUUUGAUGUUCUAACGUAGGCCCCUNACAUCUUCGGGUUGUGAG
rnacentral:rRNA from 1 species